GACCCGUUGGUCAAGUGGUUAAGACACCACCCUUUCACGGUGGUAUCAUGGGUUCGAAUC
rnacentral:tRNA from 1 species